rnacentral:rRNA from 1 species
GGGACCUACGGGGGGCAGCAGUGGGGAAUAUUGGGCAAUGGGCGCAAGCCUGACCCAGCAACGCCGCGUGAAGGAAGAAGGCUUUCGGGUUGUAAACUUCUUUUCUGGGGGACGAACAAAUGACGGUACCCCAGGAAUAAGCCACGGCUAACUACGUGCCAGCAGCCGCGGUAAUACGUAGGUGGCAAGCGUUAUCCGGAUUUAUUGGGUGUAAAGGGCGUGUAGGCGGGAAUGCAAGUCAGAUGUGAAAACUCAGGGCUCAACCCUGAGCCUGCAUUUGAAACUGUGUUUCUU